AGCUGUCAGCACAGAGCCUGACGCGGGGCUCGAACUCACAGACUGCGAGAUCAUGACCUGAGCCGAAGUCGGACGUCCAACCGAGUGAGCCACCCGGGCGCCCCAGUCCUUCAGUUUCUUUCUGAAACUGAAAAGAUUUUGCAGAGUCGCUUUGAACAUUGAGCUAGUUAGGUCAAGUGGAAUUUCCCCAACUAUAGCCCUUGAGAAUUAGAGAAUGUAUCAUACCUGGCAUGUCUAGGGUGAUUUGAGACAAGCCUGCCUUCUAGGCACCAGUCUGUACCUAACUCUUCUGAGCCCACGACUAUAUCGCCUUGUCCGUCUUUGCUACUGGAGAGAUUUCAAAUGGUGAGGUGACAGAUUUGCCUCUACUGAGUUGACGGAGACAUGCUAGGUGCAGGCUUCUAUUUUGUGUUUCGGAUUGGGGCUAGUUCAAGAGGGAGUGAGGGUUUGCCACAAAGUACACAUUAAUUUAUCACUUCCAUGCCUAACGUUUACUGAGGUUUUUAGAUUGGGGGGAUUCUAGCCCUCCUUGAAAAGCUAACGAAACUUAGGAAAUUCUUAUAAAAAAGCACAACAUUUUAUGUUCAUUUUCAGUAGCUUCAUUGAAGCCACUGGUCUGUGGCCCUCCUGUUCUGUUCUUUUGAGGGAUAUCACGAAAACCUGUCCACCAGAGAGCUUGCUAGCCCACGUUCUCAGAAGGUCAUGUCCUCCCAGCUGGGACCGUUAAGGUCCCGGGGACGCUGUGCUGAAACUGAGGAACGUGGUCCUUGCUCUCGUGGCUUCGGGAAACGGGCUAGGCAACACGUAGGGUUAGUGUCACGCGUGGUCUGUUGGGGGCACACGUGCUGCUGUGGGAAAUACAGAAGAGGGGCCUGAUCUAGUCGAGAGUUCAGGAACAUCCUCCUUGAAGAGUCGAGAAGCCGAGAGCUCAGGGAAGGACGGGGGUUGGGAGAUGGGGGAGCAUCGAGGUAAGAGCAAACAGGCAAGGGCCUUGGAGCUCACGGUAUCUGGCAGACUGGAAAGUUUAGUGUGGUUGAAAGCAGGGAAGGAGAGCACAGUCCCGUGGGGGAGGCAGUUGGUGGAAGGGUUUGAAGAGAAUGGAGGAAGUCCGAAGCAGGAAGUCCAGGGAAGAGGAGAGAACAGACUAGAGAAACUUGCUAGGUGAUUGCCUGACACUAGAGGGUCUCCGGACCAGGGCUUCUCAGCCUUAGCACGAUGGACAUUUGGAACUGGGAGAUUUUCUAUUGUGGGGACCGGUGUCCUGGGCAUUGUAGCAUCCCUGGCCUCUAUUCACUAGGUGCCAGUAGUGCCCCUUCCCCAAGAAAAACUGUCCGCAGGCACUGCCACGUAUCACUUGAGGAGAGAAUUACCUCUGGCUGAGAGCCAGUAAGCCCAGCCGCUGAGCACUUCAGGAGAAAAAUCAUACAACUUGCAGAUUGCUGUUACGACGCAUUCAUGUCCCCAGCCUGGGCUCUCAGUUCUCCCUGGUUCUCCCGUUCCCCUAACAGUUGAAGUGAUGUUUCUACCCUCGAAGAUAGGAAGGAGAAAGUGAAGACAAGUUAUUAUUUGACUUCUCUAAGUCUCAGCUUCGUCAUGGGAUAAUAGAUGUUAAGUCAGCACCUACGAAGUGUUCAAUAAAUGGUAUCUAUCAUUAUUUCUGGGAGGGGCUGAUAGGAAAUGGACAGGCUGAACGAAGUUGAAAGAUGGUAGGAGUGGACUGAGAGCAGGAACGACAGGCCGCUGUGUUCCGAGAUAGACUGAUGUUCUUUUUUAUUUUUUAAGGUUUAUUUUUGAGAGAGAGACAGGCAGAGCGUGAGCAGGGGAGAAGCAGAGAGAAAAGAAGGCAUAGAAUCGGAAGCAGGCUCCAGACUCCGAGCUGUCAGCACAGAGCCUAACGCAGGGCUCAAACUCACGAACCGCGAGAUCAUGACCUGAGCUGAAGUCGGACACUUAACCUACCGAGCCACCCAGGCACCCCUAGACUGAUGUUCUAAUCAAGACUUCCAAGGUUGUGAUAGAUGGUGUCAUCAAAUCAUCUGCCACUUCUCUCCACCACGCUCCGGAGAGGGUGGGUAGUGCUCCGUGCCCUGGUGGCACCAGGCCUGUCCAUGAAAUGUCAGCGGGAAUGAAGUGUACUGCUUCUGAGCAGAGGUUCGGGGGACAUUGCGAGGGUCAGUCAGGGCUUCUUCCCUCAGCAUGAGGCUAGUGCACCCCAGAAUGAAGGCUGCCCUGCAGUCUGGCUCCAAGAUCGACAAGAACAGGGAGCAGAGCUGCGGCUGUCCUGCAGUGGGCAGAGAAACAAGACUUGGGGGGUGUGCUACUGACUUAGUCUGAGCGGACUGGCACAAAGGUGGACAAUCCCAGGUGAGGGUCCCAGGCGUGGCAUGGAGUGAGCAGUUCAAGCAUCAUGGAAGAGGAGUUUUUUGAUGUUGAGUUGGUCAAUGAGGGAGGGUCCUGUGAGGCUGGGGGUGUUGGAUGGGUCAUUCCUGGGGCAUCGGUAUCACCCAGGAUGUUGGCAGGAUUGUGGGAACCCAAAAUCGAUAACGAGUGAGCAAAAUAUCUGGAAGGUAAGCAGAUGGCACUAUAAAGGAGGUCUAAGACUCAAAAGAGCAGAGAUUUCUGUGUGGAGGGAUAGUAGUCUGGAUGCGGUCAGGGAGGCCCGUCUCCUCUACUGAAGGUGCAUGAGGUUUGGAGAAAUGACUGCCAAGGUUCCUUGGGGGAAAGCCAGGUAUCUAUCAAUCAUCUAUUUAUUUUUGAGAUAGUGUGAGCAGGGGAGGGGCAGAGAGAGAGGGAGACACAGAAUCUGAAGCAGGCUCCAGGCUCUGAGCUGUCAGCAUAGAGCCUGAUGAGGGGCUCGAACUCACGAACCAUGAGAUCAUGAGCCGAAGUCAGACACUUAACCGACUGAGCCACCCAGGUAUCCUUUAAGCCUUAAAGAAACAGAGGAAAGCAAAAGAGUAUAUGGAUGCAGGCAGGGGGAUGUUUACCAUGAAACAGUUCAUAGAGUCGUAGUUCGUAACUUGCUUGGGGUCAAGGGGUGGGUGCUCUGGAUCGCCUCUUGAGAGAAAGGAUAUACACGCGUGUAAAAUCUUACGUGCAAACCCAGGAGGUUUUGACUACAGUUUAAACUAUAACGAACGCAUUUGGUCUAGGUAACCCCAUCUUGCCUCCUUGCACUCUGGGACUCUUCCCUUCAUCGUUAACCUUUAAAAGAGUCACUGGUGGGAAAUAAACCAUGCAUUCGAAUCAAGUUAAAGAAAUGUGAGACUUCCUGGGCCCUAAAUUGGGAAAUUUUAACUCAAAAACUCCAGCUUUAUACUGCUCAAAACUGGGUAAAGCUGCUACCUAAAUAUGGGAUGCAUAUUGGCAAAAAUUACAUCCACUUUCUUCUGUGUGUGUGUGUGUGUGUGUGUGUGUGUGUGUGUGUGUUUGAAACACUUGUAACCAUCGGGAUUUCUGGAAUCCUUGGCACUGAAUCAGAAUUGCCAGUUAGCUACUUGCUGGGUGACCUUCGGCAGUUCACUUAAUGUCUCUAAGCCUCAGCUCACUGAUCUGGAAAACAGAGCUGAUGGACAAAUGAGCUAAUGCACGUGAGGUGCUUAGCACCUGAGACUUCCUUCCACUUGCUUGCAUCAGAGCUGGGGAGGCGGCUUCCUCAAAUAGGAGCCUCAAAUCUCCGGCUUCUAACCAACAGACAUAACCUGCACUGUCCACCAGAGGGCACCAGUAACUCGUAAAUCUAAGAGGAAUGUUCCUUUGCCCUUAAUUGAAUCUGCCUGAGGAUAACCCCUUAGGUUCAAGCCUUUAUUUAAAUAUUCUUGCUCUUGGUGCCUGAAGGAAUCAUUUGCCAGAUUCCUCAAAAUGCAGAAGGGAAAUCUGAAGUAAGAAGUUUAGGGUAAUUGGUGCCCUUACUCUACAUCAGCCAUCAAGAGAGUUCUAUUAACGUUGUUUUAUUUUGUCCAUUUCUACCAUGCAUUGUCUGUCUCUUCAGACUAUCUGUAACCUAGUUACAAAUUAUUCUCUCAGUAAUAAGUUGUUGCUGGUCCUUUCUUCCUGGUUUGUUCCAAUGAACUGAACUGCUGUUUUUCCCUUUGAUGUGCAGCCUCCCUCCUGUUUCCCCUAGUCAUGGCCAGCCUUCCUUCCAGCAGUGGGGGCUGGGAUCCAGUUCUGAUCCCUUUGCCUUACUGUUGAGCCUCAGAAGCCAUUUCCCUAAAUCCCUUUGAGGUGAGAGUCUAGUGAUGGAUGGGUACUCAUCACAAGAGGCUGUGUUCUGGGCGGGGGGGAGCCCUUUCUCCAUCUGAGGAGGGGAACAGCUAGGAAAAGUUGAGGCUACCAGCCACUAGAGCCUUCCUCAAAAUGUCAUGGAUUUCAGGGGAGCAGUGAUAUCCAGGAUACCCACUGCUUACUCUUUUUUUUUUCUUUCUCUAAUUUGAGAGAGAGGGAGAGAGAGCAGGAGAGAAGGGCAGAGGGAGAGAGAAUCUUAAGCAGGCUCCACACUGUGUGGAGCCCCGACACGGGGCUCAGUCCCGUGACCCAGGGAUCAUGACUUGAGCUGAAAUCAAGUCGGACGCUUUCUCGACUGAGCCACCCAGGCGCCCCUGACCAUCCCCUUGUCUAGAUGGGUUGUCAUGGCUGACGUUUGCCAUGUGCUUCGUAUUGGGUCAUCUAUCCGUUUGGUUUUAUGUCAUGUGAUCUCCACAACAACCCCGUGAGAGAAGUGUGGUGUUGGGCGAGUGGAGUGGACUACCCCCGCACAGAAGCACAGAGAAGCUAAAUGAAGGACAGGGAAGACUUCGCCAGGGUUCCAUUUCAGUCAGCACUGGAAGCAUUCCACAAGGCCAAGUUUUGUUCUGUUCUGUUUGGUUUUGUUUUAUGGAUUGUCCCUUGCACAGCAGGAUAUUUAACAUCUCUGGCCCCCAAGCCCUGUCAUUAAGGUACAAAUUAUACCUUCCAGAAACCCCAGAAGGUACGGUACAGGUAGGUGGUCCUGCCACCUGUUAGAACCACUGACUUAUCUGCAUGGUCACCGGAAAAAGGAGGAUUAAACAAAUUGCGUUGCUCCUCUGGUUAUUUUUAUGUUAAUGAAGGUCACUAGAUAAGAUGACAGAACCAGAGGAAGGAGAUCCCUGGGGGUGAGCAGAACUCUGUAAGGGAAGAGGCUAUAUUAUAAAGGAAGGGAAUGAGCGCUAGACCAAGGCGAUCUUCCUUUCUAAUCGCUGCUAAAACCCGGAGCGUGGACAGAGUCUGGCCUCUCAAACUCAUACCUUUAGAGACCAAUCGGUUGUCGCAGGCCAGGACGGCAGCCGGGUCAGGGGACAGAAGGGAGUGCCGGGGCUGGAGCCGUCUGGACAGCCGGGCCUACACAAAGGGUGUUUUCAUGUGGUAGCGUGGGCUCAUUGUUGCCAGCCUUUCUAAUAUUUCCAGAGAAUCCACCAGGCCAGAUUUUUAAAGGAAAUCUCUCUAUUGUAGAUAUGGGAUGUAAAAGCAGUUCUAACAUUCGUUUGGCCGAUGGAUGGCUGAGUCGGUUGAGCAUCUGACUCUUGAUUUCAGCUCAGGUCAUGAUCUCACAGUGGUGAGACUGAGCCCUGCGUCCUGCUCUGUGCUGCUGUGGAGCCUGCUUGGGAAUCUCUUGCUCUCUCUCAAUAAAUAAAUAAAUACCUACACAUUAAAAAAAGAAAAAAAAACAUUAGGUAGGCCAAGAAAAAAAAAUGCCUGCAAGUGAAUUUGGAUCGUCUUGACUUGUGAGUCAGGUCGUCUUUGAGAGGCCACUGCCAUCAAAGGUGCCACAGUGUAUGUCCACCGUGCUGGUGACAGAAGAGAUACAGGUUUCAGCAUACACAAAAAAGAAUUUCCUCCCCAUCCCAGCUGCAGACAGCCGCAGGGCAGGCUGCGCAGAGGACGAGCGGGCAUUCCUAGGGGCAGUGGGACCCCCAGAAGCUGAAGCAAGGAUUCCUGUGCCAUCUUUGGUCCUUUCUGGAUCCGAGAUUCUGGGAUCCUGGGGUUGUGAUUCCUCGAAGGCAGAGCUGGGAACAUGGAAACUCUAGAGCUUGGCCAGUGCCUGGAGUGCGACCAGCUCAGGCCCUGUCCUUCCCCCUGAUGCAUAGGAAUGGGGAAGAGCUGUCCCUGGAGUCCCUGCUCCCUAGAGGCCCUUUGUCUCGGUUCUCAGUACCUGAAGUUUACACGUGCAAGCUGCUCUUACUGUCUCGCAGCCAGUGGGUCCCUGACACCAACUGCAGAGCUAAACAGCCAAUUUUCCAGCCCAGCUGUUCUGCUACACUGACUUUAAGCUUAAAUGCACUUUUCUUUCAAACCCAUCAGGAGCUGUCUCCUUCCCUCUGCUCAUUUUCUUGGCGUUAAUCCAGCAGAAAGCAGGUACUCAGGAUAGCAGUACUUCACGCUUAGAAUGCUGGGGCCCGUAGGUCCUCCAUCGGGCUCCACCCACCUUCCCCUUCAGGGCCACGAUGGGACGUCCAUCUGGUUUGUAAUGGAGCUCCCAGUUGCCAGUGCCUGUGCCCUCCAUGCUCUCUGGGAAGGGGUCUCGCUCUCUGGUUGGGCAGCCUGUGCCUUUAAAAGCAGUGCCUUUGCUGGUUUCUGACUUGCAGCAGUGGGAUAGUCAGAUGUGGGGGAGGAAGCAGGGCUCUGGCAACCGAACUCCUGAUGUGGAGGAGUUGAAAAGCCAAGCUGCAAAUGUUACUAUCUAACAUGCUGGGAAAUCUCUGUUCCCAUUCUUCAGAUCUAAUCCGUCUUUGGCUUCUCAAGUCCGUAACCCUUCUCCUUCUGGGCUUUGCUUACAUCCCUACAUCCGGCAUUGGGGCAGACUCUCGGGAAGGGAGGUGGUCCCCAGCCCUGUUCCUUGCCCUUCUGGUCCAUGUGCCAGCAUAGACCAGGUUUUAAUGAACCUCAGAAUCUUCUGUGCCACAGACGGGGAGGACCGUGUAGGUGAAGGCUUUCCACAAGCCAUGGAGCACAAUGCAUGGAAUAAUCUGGAGACUCGCCCCAGAGAAGGUCCUGGCUCUCCUGUCUCAGCCUCCCUCUGGCAUCCCCAGGACUCAGUCCACCCUGAUAACUGGGAGAAGUACGCAGGCCUCAGGAGCUGAGGAAGGCCAAACCCGAUCCCUGGCUUCCUGAAGGUUAACCAGUCAGAGCUCCUCCUGUGUGCUGGCCUGGAAGAUUCCAUGGCCCGGGCCAGGUGUGGCAGGGCUUGUGGACGCUGGGAUGGCCCUUGAUGCUAUGGGUCAAGGACGAUGAGUCAGGUCAGCGCAGCCUUUCUGCCAAGCUGGAAUAUAGGAGGCCUGGGCACAUGAAGUCAGGCAAAUUCUACCUGCCCUGUUCCACCUGGCAUCCCCUCCCUACCUGUAGCCUGGAAACUCUCUGAAGAUAGCGAGCCUGGACAAUCAUCGGGAUGGUCUUGUUUAUUUCUCACCUCGAAAGGAUCACUGUGCUACAUUGCCUAGCAUGUCAUGUCCCAUAAAUGGUUGCUUCAUAUAUUUUGUCUGGUUUUUGGUUGUUUUAGGUGGGAGGGUAAGUCCUAUCCUUAUUACUUCAUCUUGGCCGGAAGCUGGUCCCUUUGGAUUUUGGAGACCAAUUUUUUUAAAAAUAUUUAUUUAUUUUUGAGACAGAGAGAGUGAGAGUGUGGGGGAGAGACAGAAAGAGAGGGAGACAGAGAAUCCCAAGCAGGCUCCCCGGCUUUCAGAUGUGGGGCUAGAACUCAUGAGUCGUGAAAUCAUGAUCUGAGCCCAAACCAAGAGUCUGACACUCGACUGACUGAGCCACCCAGGUGCCCCUGGAGACCAAUUUUAUGAUGCCGAUGUCACAUGUGGCAAACUCAGUAGGAGCAUCCCAGUGGAGGUCCUGAGGCAUUGGGAGUAAACAUACUCUCUCUUUCUCAAGUCACUAUUCUUCUGAGUGAUAGUUUUGGCUUUGUUCUGGCCCUGAUAGACAAAAGCCCUGACCACUGGACCAUGCAUGAGCUUGUAGCCAAAGCUACUCAUCAUGUUGACCAAGCCAAAAAUUCAGGCAUGCCCAGUAGCACUUCAUCAUGAAGUGCAAAUGAUAUCAAUGGAACCUGGCCAAGCAGAUACCAAUGGCUCACGUUCUAGUAACAAGUCAUUCAAACUCUGAGAGGGCCCACCCUUGUGGCUUUGCCACCUCUUCCUCAAUCUACACCCAUGGAUUCAUGGAAAGUUGACCAAGGAGGAGAAUAAUCAAGAUUGCUUUGCAAAACUCUUCAUGCUGUAUUUAUAUCCACCCAAAGGAAGCCACCUUAGCAUAAUAGCUCGUUCGGAAGGACCCCUGAAAUGGAGAACAGAUAUCCUCCUGGGGGGAGUACUUUGAGCAGUACGACUUGACUAAUUUGCUUGGGAGGAGGAGAGACGGCCAGAGGCCUGCUGGAGGACAGCGCUCAUCAGGCCUCGUCACGGCCAUGAGACUGCCCCACAGGGGACGUGGGGGCUCCGAGGAAGAAGGCAGGCCAAGGUGGGACCCCACUCGUUCGAACUGGACUGAGGUUCUCACUUCAAGUCUGGAGGUGCGGGGAGCCCCUUUGUGCUCAGUGACCUAAAAACAAGGUCCGGCCGCGGGCCGGGUGCCCAUUCUCGUGUCCCGGGACGAUGCGUUCUACCACCUUCCAGGCAGGUGCCGCUCACCUGGCCAGAGGGGCUCUUCGCCCACCUCCCCCUGCUUCCAGGAUGCUGGGGAGGGGAGCGGCUGGAGGCGCCGUCCCUCCCCUGAGCAGGAGAGUGGUAUGCCUGUUUACAUUUGACUACCUCCCACCUUCCUCUGCAGCUAUUUCUGAAGGUGGGAAAACAACCGUGACUUAAAAUGCACAGAGGUUUUGCGUGGGGGUGUGUGUGCACUGACACGUAAAACUCAGAGCAAACAAACACACGUGCGCACACGCACGCACGCCCGCAUACACGUGCAGCGGGAGCCCAGGGAACCUGGCCGCCCAAGCUAGUGACUGGUGGGCAGGAAGAGGGCAGGGGACUCUGCGGUGUACUGUGUGGGUGGAGAGGAGGCAGGAAUGAGCUGAGUCCCGGGACGGCCCUGUCACCGAACGGGACCUAGGCCGGUGGUGCUGUCACACGUACACAUCCCAGAGGCCCUUGCCUCCUGCCUCGACCCGGCACGAGAGAGAGCAGAGCCCACAGGCGAAGAGAUCCUACUCUGACUUCCCACCUCCCGCCAGAGCACGCUGGGAAAACGGAUCGGCUUCUCAGAGCCUCUGUUCCUUCCGUCUAACAUGAGGUUGCCGUUAGGAUUAAGGGAGCCGAGUGGGGCGCACCCAGAAAGAGCUCAAUAAAUGUCAGUUGCCUCUUGGCUCCGGUCCUCCCCCAGGGCUGGGAGGCUCUCCAGCGGUAGGACUUCUCAGGGGGAACAGAAAGUGCAUCCAGGUCCUCCACGAGGCCCUACUGGGCUUGCCCACCGUGGCCCAGCGUUGCCUCCGGGUGGCAUGGGGGAGCGAGGAACAGAAAUAGAUAACACGUCACGACAUUAACCUCCUCCACUCCGGCAGGGCUGAAAACUGCAAAACGAUUAGAAGAGCGCAGGACAGUCCCGAAGGGCAGAGAAGCCUGCAGUGAGUGGAGAGGGGUCUCCCGCCAGGCCGGGCCGGGCCGGGCCGGGCCGGGCCGGGCCUCCCCCUUGGCCUUCAGACGCGAUCUGAGCCGCAGGGGUCUCUCCUCCACCACCUUGGCUCUAACGCCUCCGUUCUGCGGAGGCUCAGCUGCGUGGCGGGGAUGAAGGAACCACUUAAGACUGAAUUCAAAACCUUUUCCUCCACCCCACGCAGCAGCCCCUCUGGCUGGGUGGGUGAGGCAGUGCACCUGCUCCCCCGCCAGGAGCCCAGGGCGGGCGUUCGGCGCCCAGAGGGAGGCGGUGGCUCAAUGACUCACGUUCGGCCGCACCUCUGAUCCCAAGGCUUGGCAAAGGCCCAGACGAGUCCUCCCCCUCGCGGCUGAGCGCACAGCCCCUUCCAGGGAGGAAGGCAGAGCUGCCCACUCACCUGCCAUCG